rnacentral:siRNA from 1 species
AUGACGGUCGGAGUAGACAAAUCC